GCAGCCGUCGCCUACUGGUUAGCGCUUCGGACUUGUAACCGGAGGGUUGCCGGUUCGAACCCCGACCAGUAGGA
rnacentral:tRNA from 1 species